UCCUCGCGGGGUUCCGGCACCUGAACCCCCGCGUCCGCCUCCCGGCCUGGAGGGUUAGUUCCGGGGACCAGCCAGGCUGGGCGCGGCCAGUUUCCAUCCGUCCCCAAAGAAUCCGUAAUAUGCCUCCCAGCCCCCCAAAGGAGGGCAGUGAGUGGAGAAACGCUUGAUACCUGCGAAAAUUCACAGGGCAUUGUCUCCCUUUCCGGGCGCAGGGUAACGCUGACGUCGCUAAGUGACGGGAAACGAAGGGCCCGCCGAGGCAGCCCACCCUUUGGGGACUGAGGGCGAGCCGCGGGCAGCCCCCAUCCCGGCCGGCUGCCAGGAAGGCGGGAACGACUUCCCGGUGUUCGUGGAGAGCAGAAGCGGUUCCCGCGGGGAAAUCGAGGGCGACCCCUCGUUCCUUUUGAACUCACGUCCUGCCCCCGCCCCGCCCAGGUGGUUGGCUAAGGCAGAAUCCUGGUUUCCUAUCUUCCCAACUCGCAUCUCGACCAAUCCGAAGGCAUCAGUUGUAAGGGAAAGCAAGAUCGACACUUCCCGAUACGCUGAAGCCCUUCAAAUACCACAAACCCAACGCCUUCCGUGCCACGGCACUGUUCCCGACCGCCGAGCAGUGGACACAGCCCAACUCCCGCGCACAGAUGAACGGACACACCGAAUGUGGUAGGUGAACACACAGCAACAUUGCUUGGCCAUGAAAGUGAUGAGGUUCUGAUACAUGUUACAACAUGGAUGAGCCUCAACAUCAGGCUAAGUGAAAUAAAGGACAUGAACAAGACGAAGAAGGACAAAUGGUGUAGUAUGAUUCCACUUACAUAAAGUAUCUAGAAUGGACAAAUUCCUAGCGAUAGAAAGGAGGGUGGUCACCAGAAGCUGUGGGGCAAGGAGGAACACUUAUGGUUACAGAGUUUCUGUUUGGGGUGACGAAAAGGUUUUUGAAGUAGACAGUGGUGACAGCUGCUCUACACUGUGGAUGUGAUAAUGCCACCAAAUUACAUAUUUUUAAAUGGCUUAAAUAGCAGUUAUCAUGUUAAAUAUACUUAUCACAUAUGUAGAGAAAAACGAUGAACAAAUGGCCGGGUUUUACUUAAGAUUUCCCAUUGAUUAGGGGAGAUUACAGAUUCAGUAUACGAAAGAAAUACAAUUGUAGACGAUAAACUCAUAUUUUCCUU